UCCUGACAACUCCAUCGGGGGGUUGACACUAGCCACGACAGGAGAUCCAAAUG
rnacentral:sRNA from 12 species